ensembl:lncRNA
AUGUCACCUCCAUUCUACUUCAUGAUGUCCCCAUGUGUCACCUCUUGUUCCCCUUUGUGUUGUCCCCUCAUGUCACCUCCAUUCCUCACGAUGUCCCCUCGUGUCACCUCUGCUCCCCUUUGUGUUGUCCCCUCAUGUCACCUCCAUUCUCCUUGGUGUCAUCCGCAAGUGUCACCUCCCUUCCUUCUCCCUUGUAUUGUCCCCUUGUGUCACCUCUGCUCCCCUUUGUGUUGUCCCCCCAUGUCACCUCCCUUCUCCUUCAUGGUGUCCCCUCAUGUCACCUCCAUUCCUCACGAUGUCCCUUCAUGUCACCUCCAUUCUCUUUCCUGUCAUCCCCAAGUGUCACCUUCCUUGUCCCUUGUAUUGUCCCCUCAUGUCACCUCCCUUCUCCUUCAUGUUGUCUCCCCAUGUCACCACCAUUCUCCUUUGUGAUGUCCCCAUGUGUCACCUCUUGUUCCCCUUUCAUGAUGUCCCCCCAUGUCACCUCCAUUCUUCACAAUGUCCCCUCGUGUCACCUCUGCUCCCUUUCAUGUUGUCCACCCACGUCACCUCCAUUCCUCCUGCCAUCCCCCCCUGUCACCUCCCCCCUCCUGUCACUGCGUGACCCCCCGAUGUCCCCUCCUGACCCCCCGAUGUCCCCACAGUGCAGUGUUACAACGGUGGCACCUACGAUGGCAUCAAAUGCCUCUGCCUCUCCAGCUUCUAUGGGCCGCAGUGCGAGUUCCCCGCCGACGUCAUCGACACCUCUGUCCGUGAGUGCCUCUUCCUCUUCCUCUUCCUCUUCCUCUUCCUCUUCCUCUUCCUCUUCCUCUUCCUCUUCCUCUUCCUCUUCCCAUUCCCCUUCUCCUUCCCCUCACUCUCACUCUUGCUCUCGCUCUCACUCUCACUCUCCCUCCUCCUCCUCCUCUUCCUCUUCCUCCUCCUCUUCCUCUUCCUCUUCCUCUUCCUCUUCCUCUUCCUCUUCCUCUUCCUCCUCCUCUUCCAACUCCCUCUCCCUCCUCUUCCUCUUCCUCCUCCUCUUCCUCCUUGUUUCGCUCCUCUUCUUCUUCCUCUUCCUCUUCCUCUUCCUCCUCCUCCUCCUCCUCCUCCUCCUUUUCCUCAUUCUCUUUCUCCUCCUUCUCCUUCUCCUUCUCCUUCUCCUUCUNNNNNNNNNNNNNNNNNNNNNNNNNNNNNNNNNNNNNNNNNNNNNNNNNNNNNNNNNNNNNNNNNCCUCCUCCUCCUCCUCCUCCUCCUCCUCCUCCUCCUCCUCCUCUUCCGCCUCUUCCUUCUCCUCUUCCUCCCUCUCCCCCACCCCUGGAGGACCAACCCUUUUCUCCCCACAGCGUCCUCUGGUACCACCGUGGCUCUGGCGGAGCUGAAGGUCACCGUCACCAACUUCAACUACAGCGAGGAGCUGAAGGACCAACAGUCGGAAAUGUUCCGCAUGUUUGGGGAGCACUUCCAGAAUGAGGUGAGAACCAUUCCUCGGGUGGGAGGAGGUUGGGGGGGGUCACUUCCGGUUUUGGGGGUGUCGCUUCCGGUGGUUGGGGUGCCACUUCCUGUCGUUGGGGUCUCACUUCCACUGGCUGGGGUGUCACUUCUGGUUUUUGGGGUGUCAUUUCCAUUGGUCGGGGUGCCACUUCCGGUGGUUGGGGUGCCACUUCCUGUCGUUGGGGUGUCACUUCCGGCGGUUGGGGGGGUCUCACUUCCACCAUCUGGGGUGACACUUCCGAUUUUUGGGGUGUCAUUUCCAUUGUUUCGGGUGCCACUUCCGGAUUUGGGCUGCCACUUCCUGUUGUUGGGACGCCACUUCCGAUUUUGGGGUGCCACUUCCGGUUGGGGGGGGGGGGGGGGGGGGGCGUCGCUUCGAUCGGUCGAGGUCUCAACCUCCAUCAUUCGGGCGCCGCUUCCAGCCGUUGAGGAGUCCCUUUCCGGUGGCUGAGGCCCCACUUCCGGUUUUGGCGGGGGGGUCGGGGUGCCACUUCCGGUGGUGGGGGCGUCACUUCCGGUUUCAGUUUCGUUUCUGUCCGUGGUUCCGCAGAUCAGGAAAAUCUACGGCAGCGUCCCCAGCUACCAGGGGGUGAAGAUCAUCGACAUCAAGUGCGGAUGUGGGGUGGGGGCUGCGGGUCGGGGGCGGGGUUUGGGGUCGCUUUGGGUU